rnacentral:sRNA from 1 species
CGUACCGACAGCUCCCCAAGUGGGUGGAGCAC